rnacentral:lncRNA from 1 species
AUAGUUACAUCUGCUUAAAAUAUAAAUAAUGCUGUCUGUUCUCUCCAUAGCACCUAACAACAGAAAGAGGACUGAGAUUGAUAUGGCUCGAUUUCGUCCUCAAGCAGAUAACAAAAGGUACUGGGAUUGAUAUGCCUGGAUUACAAAAGGUACUGGGGUUGAUAUGCCUAGAGUACUGGGACUGAUAUGCCUGGAGUACAUCCACAAGCGGAUUACAAAAGUAAGUUAUCUUAUCGGUUCUUUCCAUAUCACCUCACUGGAAGGGGACACCG